rnacentral:rRNA from 1 species
AAAAGCUCAGAUUUGAAAUCUGGUGUCAUUUUGGCAUCCGAGUUGUAGUCUGUAGAGGAGCAUUCGAGUGUAGCUUUGGCUUAAGUUCCUUGGAACAGGACGUCAUAGAGGGUGAGAACCCCGUUAACGGCCGUUGUCUUAUGCUUAUGUGAAUCUCCUUCAACGAGUCGAGUUGUUUGGGAAUGCAGCUCUAAAUGGGUGGUAAAUUCCAUCUAAAGCUAAAUACUGGCAAGAGACCGAUAGCGCACAAGUAGAGUGAUCGAAAGAUGAAAAGAACUCUGAACAGAGAGUUAAAUAGUACGUGAAAUUGUUGAAAGGGAAGCACUUGCAACCAGACGCACUUGCAGCUGAUCAACCUCCAUUCUUGGAGGUGCACUCAGUUGUUUGUGGGUCAGCAUCAGUUAUGGCGGUGGGAAAAAGACCAAGGGAAUGUAGCUCCUUUCGGGGAGUGUUAUAGCCCUUGGUGUAAUGCUGCCUGCUAUGACUGAGGACUGCGCUUUGGCGAGGAUGCUGGCAUAAUGGUUGUAAGUGACCCGUCUUGAAACACGGACCAAGGAGUCUAACAUCUAUGCGAGUGUUUGGGUGUUCAAACCCUUACGCGGAAUGAAAGUAAAUGGAGGUGGGAACCGCAAGGUGCACCAUCGACCGAUCCUGAUGUUUACGGAUGGAUUUGAGUAGGAGCAUAGCUGUUGGGACCCGAAAGAUGGUGAACUAUGCCUGAAUAGGNGAAGCCA